UACGUAGGGUGCAAGCGUUAAUCAGAAUUACUGGGCGUAAAGCGUGCGCAGGCGGUUAUGCAAGACAGAUGUGAAAUCCCCGGGCUUAACCUGGGAACUGCGUUUGUGACUGCAAGGCUAGGGUACGGCAGAGGGGGGUGGAAUUCCGCGUGUAGCAGUGAAAUUCGUAGAGAUGCGGAGGAACACCGAUGGCGAAGGCAGCCCCCUGGGAUAACACUGACGCUCAUGCACGAAAGCGUGGGGAGCAAACAGG
rnacentral:rRNA from 1 species